UCAAAAUAAUUCGAUUAGAGCGUGUUCUAUUUUUUCUGACAAAAACAUAAAGAAAUCAGCUGUUUUUGUUGUCAGUCGGACAAAAGCAACCCCAAAAUUAAUUGUUUUCACAACUUUAUAAUUUAACCAGAAUAGAUGGAUUAUUAAACGGCAUAUUUUGACAUUUUUAAUGUUCAUUGGGCGUUUCCACAUUUAGUUUUCUGCAAGUGGUGCAACCUUCUAUUAGUGAAUCCUGGUGGAGA